rnacentral:rRNA from 1 species
CCUACGGGGGGCAGCAGUGAGGAAUAUUGGUCAAUGGGCGGGAGCCUGAACCAGCCAAUUCGCGUGAGGGAAGACGGUCCUAUGGAUUGUAAACCUCUUUAGGCGGGGAGCAAUGCCGGGCACGCGUGCCCGGAGGGAGAGUACCCGCAGAAUAAGCAUCGGCUAACUCCGUGCCAGCAGCCGCGGUAAUACGGGGGAUGCGAGCGUUAUCCGGAUUUAUUGGGUUUAAAGGGUGCGUAGGCGGAGUGUCAAGUCAGCGGUAAAAUUUCGGGGCUCAACCCCGUCGUGCCGUUGAAACUGACGCACUUGAGUGAGUGAGAAGUAAGCGGAAUGCGUGGUGUAGCGGUGAAAUGCAUAGAUAUCACGCAGAACGCCGAGUGUGAAGGCAGCUUACCGGCGCUCAACUGACGCUGAGGCACGAAAGUGCGGGUAGCGAACAGGAUUAGAUACCCUGGUAGUC